UCAGGCCUAACACAUGCAAGUCGAGCGGAUGAGUGGAGCUUGCUCCAUGAUUCAGAAGCGGACGGGUGAGUAAUGCCUAGGAAUCUGCCUGGUAGUGGGGGAUAACGUUUCGAAAGGAACGCUAAUACCGCAUACGCCCUACGGGAGAAAGUGGGGGAUCUUCGGACCUCACGCUAUCAGAUGAGCCUAGGUCGGAUUAGCUAGUUGGUGGGGUAAUGGCCCACCAAGGCGACGAUCCGUAACUGGUCUGAGAGGAUGAUCAGUCACACUGGAACUGAGACACGGUCCAGACUCCUACGGGAGGCAGCAGUGGGGAAUAUUGGACAAUGGGCGAAAGCCUGAUCCAGCACAGGCCGCGUGUGUGAAGAAGGUCUUCGGAUGUAAAUCAAAGGAGUUGGAGGAAGGGCAGUAAGUUAAUACC
rnacentral:rRNA from 1 species